ACCCCCACCCAUCCGUGAGAAAACAUCGAGCUUCAGAGAGAUGAUGAACAAUCUUCUCGAUUUUUCCGCUCACAAACUUGCACCACGCACGCCACCUUUUCCACCACUUCGAAGAGAUGCGGCAGUUUCUCAACACAUUGUCCUUCUCUUACGCUAGAAAGUGAGAUACCUAAGGGAGAUAACUCAUAGAACUGAUUUGUUGGAGAAAAAUCAGCAAGACAGACCACAAAAAUUCUGGUACCUUUAACUCCAGAAAGUGAGAUACCUAAGGGAGAUAACUCAGAGAGCUGAUUUGUUGGAGAAAAAUCAGCAAAACCGACCACGAAUAUUCUGGUACCUUUAACUCCAGAAAGUGAGAUACCUAAGGGAGAUAACUCAGAGAGCUGAUUUGUUGGAGAAAAAUCAGCAAAACCGACCACGAAUAUUCUGGUACCUUUAACUCCAGACUUCAAUUCUAAAUCUAUCAGUGGUGCUUCUUGCUGUUGAAAGUGACUGCAAAACUACUCUUUUGAAGGCUCUGUGUUGAUUUGUUUUGUAAGGU